rnacentral:rRNA from 1 species
AUUGAACGCUGGCGGUAGGCCUAACACAUGCAAGUCGAACGCGAAAGUCCUUCGGGAUGAGUAGAGUGGCGGACGGGUGAGUAACGCGUAGGAAUCUAUCCUGUAGUGGGGGAGUAACGUUUCGAAAGGAACGCUAAUACCGCAUACGCCCCACCGGGGAAAGGCGGGGGAGUCUUCGGACCUCGUGCUAUAGGAGGAGCCUGCGUCGGAUUAGCUAGUUGGUGAGGUAAAGGCUCACCAAGGCGACGAUCCGUAGCUGGUCUGAGAGGAUGAUCAGCCACACCGGAACUGAGACACGGUCCGGACUCCUACGGGAGGCAGCAGUGGGGAAUAUUGCGCAAUGGGCGAAAGCCUGACGCAGCCAUACCGCGUGUGUGAAGAA